AACGAACGCUGGCGGCAUGCCUAACACAUGCAAGUCGAACGAGACCUUCGGGUCUAGUGGCGCACGGGUGCGUAACGCGUGGGAACCUGCCCUUAGGUUCGGAAUAACUCCCCGCAAGGGGUGCUAAUACCGGAUAAUGUCUUCGGACCAAAGAUUUAUCGCCUUUGGAUGGGCCCGCGUUGGAUUAGCUAGUUGGUAGGGUAAAAGCCUACCAAGGCGACGAUCCAUAGCUGGUCUGAGAGGAUGAUCAGCCACACUGGGACUGAGACACGGCCCAGACUCCUACGGGAGGCAGCAGUGGGGAAUAUUGGACAAUGGGCGAAAGCCUGAGCCAGCAAUGCCGCGUGAGUGAUGAAGGCCUUAGGGUUGUAAAGUUCUUUUACCCGGGAUGAUAAUGACAGUACCGGGAGAAUAAGCUCCGGCUAACUCCGUG
rnacentral:rRNA from 1 species